UAGAGUUUGAUCAUGGCUCAGAACGAACGCUGGCGGCAGGCCUAACACAUGCAAGUCGAGCGCACCUUCGGGUGAGCGGCGGACGGGUUAGUAACGCGUGGGAACGUGCCCUUUUCUGCGGAAUAGCCACUGGAAACGGUGAGUAAUACCGCAUACGCCCUUCGGGGGAAAGAUUUAUCGGAGAAGGAUCGGCCCGCGUUAGAUUAGGUAGUUGGUGGGGUAAUGGCCUACCAAGCCUACGAUCUAUAGCUGGUUUGAGAGGAUGAUCAGCAACACUGGGACUGAGACACGGCCCAGACUCCUACGGGAGGCAGCAGUGGGGAAUCUUAGACAAUGGGGGCAACCCUGAUCUAGCCAUGCCGCGUGAGUGAUGAAGGCCUUAGGGUCGUAAAGCUCUUUCGCUGGGGAUGAUAAUGACAGUACCCAGUAAAGAAACCCCGGCUAACUCCGUGCCAGCAGCCGCGGUAAUACGGAGGGGGUUAGCGUUGUUCGGAAUUACUGGGCGUAAAGCGCACGUAGGCGGACUGGAAAGUUAGAGGUGAAAUCCCGGGGCUCAACCCCGGAACUGCCUUUAAAACUAUCAGUCUAGAGUUCGAGAGAGGUGAGUGGAAUUCCGAGUGUAGAGGUGAAAUUCGUAGAUAUUC
rnacentral:rRNA from 1 species